rnacentral:SRP_RNA from 2 species
GCGGCGGCCUCGGAUGACGGGGAACUGCGAACCUGGUCAGGCCCUGACGGGAGCAGCCAUAAGCAGAUCCUCCCCGGGUGUUCGGGGUCGCCCCUCG